AAGAUCAUACUUCACAGGAUCAUUUCUGUAGUAAGAUCUUCAUUUAUACACUCCAUUACGGAAGUGGAUACCAGCCACGAUGAAGAGUUACGGUCCAUCUCUCUGAGCGUGAGGCAGACGAGGUCCCGGGCCCUAGCGGCACGGGAGCACGUCAUCGAUGAUCGUUUCAGCCUUUACCUUAGGGUACUGGUCGAGAGGUGGACGUUCAGAGUGGU